rnacentral:rRNA from 1 species
AACGAACGUUAGCGGCGCGCUUAAUACAUGCAAGUCGAGCGAGAAAGGGCUUCGGCCCCAGUAAAGCGGCGCACGGGUGAGUAACACGUAGGUCAUCUACCCUUGGGUGGUGGAUAACAUUCCGAAAGGAGUGCUAAUACAGCAUGACACCGUAAGGUCAAAGCGGGCCUCUCUAUAGAAGCUCGCGCCUGGGGAUGAGCCUGCGGCGCAUCAGCUAGUUGGUGGGGUAAUGGCCUACCAAGGCUAAGACGCGUAGCUGGUCUGAGAGGAUGAACAGCCACACUGGAACUGAGACACGGUCCAGACUCCUACGGGAGGCAGCAGUAGGGAAUCUUGCGCAAUGGGCGAAAGCCUGACGCAGCGACGCCGCGUGAGUGAUGAAGGCCCUCGGGUUGUAAAGCUCUGUGGGGAGAGAAGAAUAAGUAUUCGCUAAUAUCCAAUGCGAUGACGGUAUCUCCUUAGCAAGCACCGGCUAACUCUGUGCCAGCCGCCGCAGUAAUAC